CAAAGGGUUUUGAUUAAACUAAGUGUGCAGAAGAGAUUGCUGACACUACAUAUUGUUUUAUCAACGAUGAAGGAAAUAAUAGCACAGUGUGUAAGGAAGGUUAUAAAAAGAAUUCUGAUGGUGAUUGUAG